rnacentral:misc_RNA from 1 species
GAAGGACGAUGCGUUGACGAAGGCGGCUUUAGGUUUUAGAGUGUGUGAAGUGGCGGUUUGCUUGAUUUCGUUUUCAGUUAUGGCGUCUGAUAAGACUCAGGGUUGGAGCGGCGACUCCUUUGAUCGUUACAAGGAAUACAGGUACUGCCUCACUGUGAAUAUAAUUGCAUUCGUGUAUGCGGCAUUUCAAGCAUUUGAUCUUGUCUUUACUCUAAUCAAGAAGAACCAUAUGAUACGUCAUCAGUUUCGUUGUUAUUUUGACUUCUUCAUGGAUCAGGUAUUGGCAUAUCUUCUCAUAUCAUCGUCUUCCUCAGCCGCAACGCGUGUUGACGAUUGGCAAUCGAAUUG